CUGCCAUUUGCAAUAUCCUAUCAAAGCUACCAGGCUUUACAAUAUAUACCAACAGAGGACCUAUUUCACCCCUAUCUCUCUGCACCUUGUAUAUACCUCCCAAACCCUUCUCAAGAGAGGAACAACACCACUUGAGAGACUCAACUGAUUCUUGCAAUUUCUCCUCCUGCAGAAGCCCGCAUCCCUCUUUAACUUCUAAAAAAAUCUUCAAUUGCUUUGGACUCAAUUCCAAAUCCAAGAAACUUGCGAACUCCACAAUCUCUGCUGCAAUAGCAUUUCUCAUAACAAGCUGAAAACUCUCCACAGCAGACAUCAAAUCCCUCUCUGUUAUUACCUCAUAGGCAUUGUUAGGAGCUCUCAUCACGAA
rnacentral:misc_RNA from 1 species